GACGAACGCUGGCGGCGUGCUUAACACAUGCAAGUCGAGCGGAAAGGCCCUUCGGGGUACUCGAGCGGCGAACGGGUGAGUAACACGUGAGUAACCUGCCCUAGGCUUUGGGAUAACCCCGGGAAACCGGGGCUAAUACCGGAUAUGACCUGGUGCCGCAUGGUGUUGGGUGGAAAGUUUUUUCGGCCUGGGAUGGGCUCGCGGCCUAUCAGCUUGUUGGUGGGGUGAUGGCCUACCAAGGCGAUGACGGGUAGCCGGCCUGAGAGGGCGACCGGCCACACUGGGCCUGAGACACGGCCCAGACUCCUACGGGAGGCAGCAGUGGGGAAUAUUGCACAAUGGGCGGAAGCCUGAUGCAGCGACGCCGUGUGAGGGAUGAAGGCCUUCGGGUUGUAAACCUCUUUCAGCAGGGACGAAGCGUGAGUGACGGUACCUGCAGAAGAAGCGCCGGCCAACUACGUG
rnacentral:rRNA from 1 species